rnacentral:rRNA from 1 species
GACGAACGCUGGCGGCGUGCUUAACACAUGCAAGUCGAACGGAAAGGCCCUGCUUUUGUGGGGUGCUCGAUUGGCGAACGGGUGAGUAACACGUGAGUAACCUGCCCUUGACUUUGGGAUAACUUCAGGAGACUGGGGCGCAUACCGGAUAGGAGCUCCUGCUGCAUGUGGUUGGUUGGAAAGUUUCGGCGGUGGGGGAUGGACUCGCGGCUUAUGAGCUUGUUUGUGUGGUAGUGGCUUACCAAGGCUUUGACGGGUAGCCGGCCUGAGAGGGUGACCGGCCACAUGGGGCCUGAGAUACGGACCAGAAUGCUAUGGGAGGCAGAAGUGGGGAAUCUUGCACAAUGGGCGGAAGCCUGAUGCAGCAACGCCGCGUGCGGGAUGACGGGCUUCGGGUUGUAAACCGCUUUCGAAUGUGACGAAGCGUGCGUGACGGUAAUGGGUAAAGAAGCAACGGCUAACUACGUG